AUUCCGUGAUAAGGGCAUUUCCAUAAUAGUUCUUUAAACCUUUCCCAUGCCUCAUUCAAGGACUCGCCAUACAUCUAUUAGAAAUUAGUGAUCUCAUUCCGCAACU
rfam:Gossypium arboreum cultivar AKA8401 contig_47681_3, whole genome shotgun sequence.